rnacentral:rRNA from 1 species
UACGAAGGGUGCAAGCGUUAUCCGGAUUUAUUGGGUUUAAAGGGUGCGUAGGCGGACUUAUAAGUCAGUGGUGAAAUCUCGAUGCUUAACAUCGAACGUGCCAUUGAUACUGUAGGUCUUGAGUACAGAUGCCGUUGGCGGAAUGUGUCAUGUAGCGGUGAAAUGCAUAGAUAUGACACAGAACACCGAUUGCGAAGGCAGCUGACGAAACUGUAACUGACGCUGAGGCACGAAAGCGUGGGGAUCAAACAGG